CUAAUUCAUUCGAAAUUGUAGUUUAAUUUAAAAUAUUAGCAUUGGAAGCUAAAGCUUGGGUCUUUAAUCCCACAUUUCGAA
rnacentral:tRNA from 1 species